AUUGAACGCUGGCUGCAGGCCUAACACCUGCAAGUCGAACGAGUGGCGGACGGGUACGUAAUGUCUGGGAAACUGCCUGAUGGAGGGGGAUAACUCCUGGAAACGGUAGCUAAUCCCGCAUACCAUCGGAUGUGCCCAGAUGGGAUUAGCUAGUAGGUGGGGUAAAGGCUAACCUAGGCGACGAUCCCUAGCUGGUCUGAGAGGAUGACCAGCAACACGGGAACUGAGACCCGGUCCAGACGCAUACGGGAGGCAGCAGUGGGGAAUAUUGCACAAUGGGCGCAAGCCUGAUGCAGCCAUGCCGCGUGUAUGAAGAAGGCCUUCGGGUUGUAAAGUACUUUCAGCGGGGAGGCGUUACCCGCAGAAGAAGCACCGGCUAACUCCGUGCCAGCAGCCGCGGUAAUUC
rnacentral:rRNA from 1 species